GCCCUCGUAGCCUAAUGGUUAUGGCGUCAGACUUCUAUUCCCACGGUUAUCUGGAGGUUGCGGGUUCGAGUCCCGCCUAGGGUU